rnacentral:rRNA from 1 species
GCACAAGCGGUGGAUGAUGUGGAUUAAUUCGAUGCAACGCGAAAACCUUACCUACCCUUGACAUCCACAGAACUUUCCAGAGAUGGAUUGGUGCCUUCGGGAACUGUGAGACAGGUGCUGCAUGGCUGUCGUCAGCUCGUGUUGUGAAAUGUUGGGUUAAGUCCCGCAACGAGCGCAACCCUUAUCCUUUGUUGCCAGCGGUCCGGCCGGGAACUCAAAGGAGACUGCCAGUGAUAAACUGGAGGAAGGUGGGAUGACGUCAAGUCAUCAUGGCCCUUACGACCAGGGCUACACACGUGCUACAAUGGCGCAUACAAAGAGAAGCGACCUCGCGAGAGCAAGCGGACCUCAUAAAGUGCGUCGUAGUCCGGAUUGGAGUCUGCAACUCGACUCCAUGAAGUCGGAAUCGCUAGUAAUCGUGGAUCAGAAUGCCACGGUCGAAUACGUUCCGGGCCUU